GAGUUUGAUCAUGGCUCAGGAUGAACGCUGGCGGCGUGCCUAAUACAUGCAAGUCGAGCGAACGGACGAGAAGCUUGCUUCUCUGAUGUUAGCGGCGGACGGGUGAGUAACACGUGGAUAACCUACCUAUAAGACUGGGAUAACUUCGGGAAACCGGAGCUAAUACCGGAUAAUAUUUUGAACCGCAUGGUUCAAAAGUGAAAGACGGUCUUGCUGUCACUUAUAGAUGGAUCCGCGCUGCAUUAGCUAGUUGGUAAGGUAACGGCUUACCAAGGCAACGAUGCAUAGCCGACCUGAGAGGGUGAUCGGCCACACUGGAACUGAGACACGGUCCAGACUCCUACGGGAGGCAGCAGUAGGGAAUCUUCCGCAAUGGGCGAAAGCCUGACGGAGCAACGCCGCGUGAGUGAUGAAGGUCUUCGGAUCGUAAAACUCUGUUAUUAGGGAGAACAUAUGUGUAAGUAACUGUGCACAUCUUGACGGUACCUAAUCAGAAGGCCACGGCUAACUAC
rnacentral:rRNA from 1 species